rnacentral:rRNA from 1 species
UGGUGCGACCAUACCAGCACUAAUGCACUGGAUCUCAUUAGAACUCCGCAGUGAAGCGUACUUGGGCGAGAGUAGUACUAGGAUGGGUGACAUCCUGAGAAGUCCCCGUGUUGCACCUC